GGCUGUAGCUCAGUGGUAAAGUGCUUUCCUCAUAUGGGUGAGGUACUGGAUUCAAGCCUCAGCACCA
rnacentral:tRNA from 1 species